rnacentral:rRNA from 1 species
UGGGGAAUAUUGGACAAUGGGCGAAAGCCUGAUCCAGCCAUGCCGCGUGUGUGAAGAAGGUCUUCGGAUUGUAAAGCACUUUAAGUUGGGAGGAAGGGCAUUAACCUAAUACGUUAGUGUUUUGACGUUACCGACAGAAUAAGCACCGGCUAACUCUGUGCCAGCAGCCGCGGUAAUACAGAGGGUGCAAGCGUUAAUCGGAAUUACUGGGCGUAAAGCGCGCGUAGGGGGUCUGUUAAGUUGGAUGUGAAAUCCCCGGGCUCAACCUGGGAACUGCAUUCAAAACUGACUGACUAGAGUAUGGUAGAGGGUGGUGGAAUUUCCUGUGUAGCGGUGAAAUGCGUAGAUAUAGGAAGGAACACCAGUGGCGAAGGCGACCACCUGGACUAAUACUGACACUGAGGUGCGAAAGCGUGGGGAGCAAACA